UGGGGAAUAUUGGACAAUGGGCGCAAGCCUGAUCCAGCCAUGCCGCGUGAGUGAUGAAGGCCCUAGGGUUGUAAAGCUCUUUCACCGGUGAAGAUAAUGACGGUAACCGGAGAAGAAGCCCCGGCUAACUUCGUGCCAGCAGCCGCGGUAAUACGAAGGGGGCUAGCGUUGUUCGGAUUUACUGGGCGUAAAGCGCACGUAGGCGGACUUUUAAGUCAGGAGUGAAAUCCCGGGGCUCAACCCCGGAACUGCCUUUGAUACUGGAAGUCUUGAGUAUGGUAGAGGUGAGUGGAAUUCCGAGUGUAGAGGUGAAAUUCGUAGAUAUUCGGAGGAACACCAGUGGCGAAGGCGGCUCACUGGACCAUUACUGACGCUGAGGUGCGAAAGCGUGGGGAGCAAACAGG
rnacentral:rRNA from 1 species